rnacentral:tRNA from 1 species
UGUUAUUCUAUUUCUUUAGAACCACAAUCCAAUAUUUUUCAUAAACUAAAAUAAC